UACGAAGGGGGGCUAGCGUUGCUCGGAAUCACUGGGCGUAAAGGGUGCGUAGGCGGGUCUUUAAGUCAGGGGUGAAAUCCUGGAGCUCAACUCCAGAACUGCCUUUGAUACAGCACAUCUGGAGUCCGGAAGAGGUGGGUGGAAUUCCUAGUGUAGAGGUGAAAUGCGUAGAUAUUGGGAGGAACACCAGUGGCGAAGGCGGCUCACUGGACCGGUACUGACGCUGAGGUGCGAAAGCGUGGGGAGCAAACAGG
rnacentral:rRNA from 1 species